GUUCCUCAAGGACAUUGUGUUUUUCUGACAUGGAUGGUUACAGAUGGCCCCACAGCAGGACCACCACAGGACACAGCUGAGCUAAUCUGUGAAAACACAUUUUAAAAAAUGGUGAUAAAGACCAAGGGAAAGGAACAGCAAGAUCCAAGAACAGGUCCAUGAUGGAGCAGUCACACCUGAAGGAAAUGAAACCUGUGGAGGACUCAUGUUGGAGCAGAGGAAACAAGAAGGAAGGAGCAGCAGGAAAGAAUACUGAGAAACGAGCGGCAGAGAGAACAUGCUGUGCCCUGACCCCAACCUACUGCACUGCCUAUUGCCUCACCAAAGAGACUGAGUAUAACCUGCAGCAAUAAGGUCAGGUAUGGAGACCGGGAAUGGGGAAGGAAGAUGCCUGAAGCAAAGCUGAGACUAGGAAAGAAGCAGUAUUGGAUAAGGAAAAUGGAAUGCAUUAGAUCACACGUAACAGAACUAAAGAAGGAAAGUAUAAAAUCUCAGCUCCAGCGUGAAGGAUCAAGUCUGCACUUGGGGAAGGAAUCAUCUACAAAGGUAACAAAAAUGAGAAAAAAGGAGCUAUUUCAUUAAAAUUAAUUCUUUUAAAUUAAAGUAAGAGACUAAUAUUCACAAUGCUUCUGUUGGUUAGGACUCCCAUAUAUACCAUUUGCUUGUCCCCAAAUUUAGGAGCUACAGGACAAGACAAGGCAAUCUUCAAAUUUACAUAGCAGCGCAAGGGUGUUACAGUAAGUGUGCAAAUCCGGGAAUAGACCCUAAAAAAAGAUGUUGAUAGUGAAGGUCAGUCACUGCAGUCUGUCAGCUUCUCAGGGUUUUUUUUUGCUGCUUGGUACGGUGUAAUUAUUACUGCACUGUCAUAAUCUCUGCCUGCUGCCAGUGUUGUCUUCCUCAUAUACCUGUCAACAAGUUGAUGAUGUAUUGUCGGUGUUCAUUAGCCCUUAUACAAUCUUACUGACUACAUCACACCAAAAAUCUAACAUUCUUCAGUAUGACAUAUUUAAGCAUGUCGUACUUCUGAAAUUGCUAGAAAAUCCUCUAGAUCCCCCAGAAGUGUCGCUUUUGCACUGUCAAAUUUCUGAGCAGUCUUACAGGCAGUCUUACAGUCAGAUUGAGUUUUAAGAACAGUUUACCCUUAUGAUUAUCCACCAUACCUGCAUGUGAUGCGAAGUGCAGUGAUCAGUCUGGUAGGAAUAUGCUAGUAGAAGCUAGUGUACAUGGGAAUGAAACCUCAUUUCAGUGUGGUGACUGGGAGCUCAAUGAGAAGGGAUUGACGCGAUGCCAAAUGUGGCCCAAAAGCUGUGUAUUGCGCAGUGUUGGUGGUUCAGGUUGCUGACAGCACACACUGUUUUUAGUUUGGUGAGCUGAUGUUUCACAGUAUCUACUUCCUCUUUAGCAAAGAAAUUUGACUCUGUGCAGGGUGGCCGGUACUGCUCGCAGGCACUUGCUGUGGCCUUGUGCACUCGUCUUGUUGGCACAGACAAUGCGUGUGUGGAGCAGAGUCUGCAGCUGGAUGCGGUGUCCUGCUUUCUCUCACUGCACUGAGCAGCCUGCACGUGUGGUAGCAAUGCCUUCAGCUUAUUUGUAUUUCGUCCAUUCCUCUUACAGUAAUUCAGUUUCAAGUUGUGGCCUGCAGGUAUUUACUACAUAUUUCACCAUGCUUGUUAAUAUUUACUGUUUUUUACAUUCAUGUAUUGUGUUUGGUGAAACCUGUUUUCUUGCUUUAGGCAUCUAGUGACAACAGUAUGUGCUAUAUCAUCAGUAGCUGCUCUCAGCCAGCUGUCAGCAUUGUGCUUACAGUUUUAACAACUACGCUUUUUAGGUUAUUGGUGCUAGAAUAUGAUGUAGCACUAGACAGUUUUUUUGCCUUUAUAAACUGCAUAAUCUGCAAAUACUUUGAGUUCUUACUUGGAAAAUGCUCAGCAUGGGUUGACACAGGUAAUGAAAAGGUGAUUUAAAAAAAAAAAAUCAAGAGAAUUGUGAUUAUAUAUUUAUACCUGCAAUUAUAUCUGACAACUUGGAAAUGCCAAUGAUUACUCCAGAUAAAGUACAUCUGCAAAAUUUUAGUCAGUUUGGAUUUAUAAUAUUUUAUAUAAAUAGAAAGACAAAGCAGAAUGUGAAGCCAAUUUGUUCAGUGCUUUCCUGUACCCAAAGUUAAGGAUAACUGGCUACAGUUCCCAGACCUGGAUGGAGUUCUG